rnacentral:rRNA from 1 species
AUGGAGAUGGCAAGUAGCGCCAAGUGGUUUGCUGUGGCUCUUGUUUUCAUCACUGUGAUCCUACUCAGGGUCAUAAGAGGAAGGAGGAUGGCCGCUGCUCCAGCCAGUGAGAAACCACCUCCACCUGUGGUGAAUGGUUUUGCGUUACUAGGACUUCUACCUAGGCUUCUUACAAUGGACCUUCGAACUAAGAUAAAUUGCCUGCACGAUAAGUAUGGCAGUGUGUUCACAGUUAGUCCUUUUGGACUAACUAAUGUAACCUUUCUGAUCGGCCCGGAGGUCCAAUCCCAUUUCUUUCAAGGGUUGGAGUCAGAGAUUAACCAUGGCAAUCUUCUUGAGUUCCUUGUGCCGAUGUUUGGACAAGAGAUAGGUCAAGGUGUCGAUGCAGCCACUCGGACUGAGCAGUCCCGCUUUUAUCUCGAUGCAUUAAAGCAAUCCAAGUUGAGGAGACAUCUUGAUCCGAUGCUUCAAGAGGUCGAGAGCUACUUCGGCAAAUGGGGCCUGGAAGGAGUAGUUGAUUUAAAACAUGAGUUUGAAGAGUUGCUCAUGUUGAUAUCAAGCCGGUGUCUACUAGGAAAAGAGGUUCGGGAGAAGAUGUUUGAUGAGUUCUAUAAACUUUUUCGUGAUGUCGAAAAUGGAGUGAACAUGAUCAGUGUCUUCUUCCCAUAUAUUCCAAUUCCUGCAAACCGUAGGCGUGACAAAGCACGUCUUAAGCUCAUCGAAUUACUUUCUGGAACUGUGAGGUCACGUAAGAGCUCCCCCUCAGUGGAGGAAGAUGUGCUACAAAGAUUGAUAGAUUCCAAGUAUAAAGACGGCCGCUCCACAACGGAAACAGAGGUAACCGGGAUGAUCAUUGCAUUGAUCUUUGGUGGAAAGCACACAAGUUCCCUCGCUAGUACCUGGACCGGAGCUUGCCUACUCACUCAUCCAAAGUUCUUAGCGGCUGCAUCCCAGGAGCAAAAGGAAAUCAUGAUGAAAUACAAGGACAAAAUAGAAUAUGAUGCCUUGUUAGAGAUGAAUACCCUUCAUAAUUGUAUCAAAGAGGCACUUAGGCUGAACCCACCAACAACAAUGUUGGUUCGCAAGGCACUUAAACAUUUCACAGUGCGGACAAGACAAGGCCAAGAGUAUGGCAUUCCCAAGGGGCAUACUCUUGCAAGUCCCAUAAUACAAAACAAUUACUUGCCUUACAUUUAUAAGGACCCCGAGGUAUAUGAUCCAGAUCGGUUUGGUCCCGUAAGGCAGGAGGACAUAGUUGGCGGCAAGUUUUCUUAUACAUCCUUUGGUGGUGGAAGGCAUUUUUGCAGUGGGGAUGCCUAUGCUUACAUGCAAGUUAAAGUUAUAUGGAGCCACUUGCUCAACAACUUUGAUCUCAAAUUAUUAUCUCCUUAUCCCAAGACUGACUGGAGUAAGUUAAUCCCAGAGCCUCAAGGGAAUAUGAUGGUCAGCUACAAGAGACGCCAGCUGCUAGGCUAG